rnacentral:rRNA from 1 species
CCUACGGGAGGCAGCAGUAAGGAAUAUUGGUCAAUGGAGGCAACUCUGAACCAGCCAUGCCGCGUGCAGGAUGAAGGCCCUCUGGGUUGUAAACUGCUUUUAUCUGGGAAGAAAUCUCCUUUUCUAAGGAAGUUGACGGUACCAGAAGAAUAAGCACCGGCUAACUCCGUGCCAGCAGCCGCGGUAAUACGGAGGGUGCAAGCGUUAUCCGGAUUUACUGGGUUUAAAGGGUGCGUAGGCGGGCUUUUAAGUCAGUGGUGAAAGCUUCGAGCUUAACUCGAAAAUUGCCAUUGAUACUAUUAGUCUUGAAUUCAGUUGAGGUCGGCGGAAUGUGUCGUGUAGAGGUGAAAUUCUUAGAUAUGACACAGAACACCAAUUGCGAAGGCAGCUGGCUAAUCUGAUAUUGACGCUGAGGCACGAAAGCGUGGGGAUCAAACAGGAUUAGAUACCCUGGUAGUCCACGCCCUAAACGAUGAUUACUCGAAGUUGGCGAUACACUGCCACGCCUCAACGACGAAACGACAUUAAGUAAUACCACCUACGGGGAGGUACGGACCGACCGAACGGUUAGAAACGUACGAAAGGAAGUUAGUACGGCGUGAGACGUAGCCGACGGACGACGACGAGGGAGGAGGG